GCACAAGCAGUGGAGUAUGUGGUUUAAUUCGAAGCAACGCGAAGAACCUUACCAGGUCUUGACAUCCGAUGCAUAGUGCAGAGAUGCAUGAAGUCCUUCGGGACAUCGAGACAGGUGGUGCAUGGUUGUCGUCAGCUCGUGUCGUGAGAUGUUGGGUUAAGUCCCGCAACGAGCGCAACCCUUAUUGCCAGUUACUACGCAAGAGGACUCUGGCGAGACUGCCGUUGACAA
rnacentral:rRNA from 1 species